UAGAAGAGAUGCAUUUAUUAGAUAAAAAACCAAUACAUGCUUUUAAAGUAUGGAAUUUGGUGAUUUACAAUAACUUAGCAAAUCGCAUAGUGAAAACAGGCGAUAAAUCAUUCAAGUUUCUGACCUAUCAGCUUUCGACGGUAUGGUAUUGGCUUACCGUGGCAGUGACGGUUAACGGGGGAUUAGGGUUCGAUUCCGGAGAGGGAGCCUGAGAAACGGCUACCACAUCUAAGGAAGGCAGCAGGCGCGCAAAUUACCCAAUUCUAACAGCAUAAGAGAGGUAGUGACAAGAAAUAACAAUACAAGGCAGUUAAAAUGCUUUGUAAUUGGAAUGAUAGAAAUUUAAACACUUUUUAAAGUAUCAAUUGGAGGGCAAGUCUGGUGCCAGCAGCCGCGGUAAUUCCAGCUCCAAUAGCGUAUAUUAAAAUUGUUGCAGUUAAAAAGCUCGUAGUUGAAUUUCUGCUAAAAAUAACCGGUCUGCUUUUAAUAAAGGUGGUAUCUUGGUGUGUUUUUAGCAAUAAUGUCCUUUGAAAUGUUUUUUACUUCAUUGUAAUAAAUUAUUUUCAGGAUUUUUACUUUGAGAAAAUUAGAGUGUUUCUAGCAGGCUAACGCUUUGA
rnacentral:rRNA from 1 species